CACGUAGGGUGCGAGCGUUGUCCGGAAUUAUUGGGCGUAAAGAGCUCGUAGGCGGCUUGUCGCGUCGACUGUGAAAACUCGGGGCUCAACCCCGAGCCUGCAGUCGAUACGGGCAGACUAGAGUGCGGUAGGGGAGACUGGAAUUCCUGGUGUAGCGGUGAAAUGCGCAGAUAUCAGGAGGAACACCGGUGGCGAAGGCGGGUCUCUGGGCCGUAACUGACGCUGAGGAGCGAAAGCGUGGGGAGCAAACAGG
rnacentral:rRNA from 1 species